AGCGGGGUGGGGUAGCCUGGAACAUCCCGACGGGCUCAUAACCCGUAGAUCAAUGGUUCAAAUCCAUUCCCCGCUACCA
rnacentral:tRNA from 1 species